UCUUUUGAUAAACAUAUAAGUGGCAUUCGAAUAGAGCGAAACGUCAGUACAGCUAGCUCUUGAGUCGAAAAGGAGUUCGUCAGAAUUCUCAAGAUAGUUCAUCAGAUGUUUAAGAUGAAGUCAGUGGCGUUGUCCAUCGUUGUCUUGACAGUAACUGGUCUACUUUUGAGGUUAUCACCUACUGCUACUGCAGAUUGUCUGAACUGCUCUGAUGAAAGGAAGAUAUGUUUUAAUCUUUGCGGUAAUGACCAAAAGUGUGUGAAUAACUGCAACCAAGUAUUUUCAGAUUGUCUUACAAGUAACACAAUCAAUAAUUGCAAUAGUGUACGGCGAUUUCUUCUUCGAGACGUUACAGAAGAAAAUGAUAAAAACCCGGAGCUACAGCCAGAUUACGAAACAUUGUUUAAGGCAGUAAACUGAGUCUUAAAUUUAACUGAAACAACAGAAAAUGAGGAUGAGUCUGAGAUUCCUGUAAAAUGAACAAGGAACACCGAUUGAGUUCCGUUAAAUGCAAUAGCUAACUGUAAUACUCAAUUGUCUUACUUUUUUCGUGUAAAAGUUGCCAUAAAGAAAUUCAUUAAACCAGGAUAACAAAUCGUG